rnacentral:rRNA from 1 species
AUUGAACGCUGGCGGCAGGCCUAACACAUGCAAGUCGAGCGAGCGGCGGACGGUUGUGUAAUGUCUGGGAAACUGCCUGAUGGAGGGGGAUAACUACUGGAAACGGUAGCUAAUACCGCAUACCAUCAGAUGUGCCCAGAUGGUAUUAGCUAGUAGGUGGGGUAACGUCUCACCUAGGCGACGAUCCCUAGCUGGUCUGAGAGGAUGACCAGCCACACUGGAACUGAGACACGGUCCAGACUCCUACGGUAGGCAGCAGUGGGGAAUAUUGGACAAUGGGCGCAAGCCUGAUGCAGCCAUGCCGCGUGUGUGAAGAAGGUCUUCGGGUUGUAAAGCACUUUCAGCGUGGAAGCGUUACCCGCAGAGGAAGCACCGGCUAACUCCGUGCCAGCAGCAGCGGUAAUAC